rnacentral:rRNA from 1 species
CCUACGGGGGGCUGCAGUGGGGAAUAUUGCACAAUGGGCGCAAGCCUGAUGCAGCCAUGCCGCGUGUGUGAAGAAGGCCUUCGGGUUGUAAAGCACUUUCAGCGGGGAGGAAGGCGUUAAGGUUAAUAACCUUGGCGAUUGACGUUACCCGCAGAAGAAGCACCGGCUAACUCCGUGCCAGCAGCCGCGGUAAUACGGAGGGUGCGAGCGUUAAUCGGAAUUACUGGGCGUAAAGCGCACGCAGGCGGUCUGUCAAGUCGGAUGUGAAAUCCCCGGGCUCAACCUGGGAACUGCAUUCGAAACUGGCAGGCUAGAGUCUUGUAGAGGGGGGUAGAAUUCCAGGUGUAGCGGUGAAAUGCGUAGAGAUCUGGAGGAAUACCGGUGGCGAAGGCGGCCCCCUGGACAAAGACUGACGCUCAGGUGCGAAAGCGUGGGGAGCAAACAGGAUUAGAUACCCUAGUAGUC